UACCAUUUAAAAUUAAAAUAAAGGACUAAGUAGGAAAAAAAAAUAAAGAACUAAAACGUUACCUGAAAUUAAGUUAAGGGAUCACUGAAAUUAAGUUAAGGGAUUAAUUUAACCUUAAUUCUAAUAAGUAACUUUGUGUACUUCCAAAGUAUUUUGUUGUUCCUUUAGUAUUAUGUUCUUCUUGUAUAAUGUGAAAGGUUAACAUAAAAAUAAAAAUAAUAAAAAUAAGUAACUAAGAUCAAAUAAUGAAAUUCAGUGUUAAAGAGAUAUAUACAAUAUUUCAAUACACAUAGUAGUUAUUUUAUUAUUUGAUUAUAGUUUUCUGACAGGUUUCUUUGCUAUUCUGUUAAAGCUAAUUAAAAACCAUUUAAUUGUACUACACUGAUAAUCGAAUUUGUAUUUUAUAAAGUGAUCAAUAAUUUUUUGUUUCUUACAUAUAAAAGAGGGAAAAAUAUCUAAAACUCUCUUAUUUGUUACGGCUAUUAUCCUCUUCGUUUCUUAAUUUCUAGUAAGUCACGGUUGUUUGAUAAACAUCAUGUGUCAUUCUAAAUUUUAAUUUAGACAAUAAUAUUAUUAAUUAAUUCUAACAAGUAACUUUUUGUACUUUUAAAGCUUUUAGUUGUUUCUUUGGUAUUAUGUUACCCUUGUAUAUUGAGAAAGAUUAACAAAGAAAUAAAAAAUAAUGAAAUAUUAAAACCAUGAUGGCACAAUAAAGUAACUAAUUAAGAUAAUGUGAUUAAACUGAGUGUUAAAAGAGAUAAAUAUAAUAUUUUAAUAUACUUACUAGUCAUUUUAUUAUGAUUAGAGUUUUAGGAAAGGUUUAUUUGCUACGCUGUUAGAGCUAAAAAUUAUUUAAUUGUAGUACACUAAUAAUGGAAUUUUUAAUUUAUAAAGUGAUCAAUAAUUUUGUGUUUCUUACAUACAAAGUAGAGAAAAAUGUCUAAAACUCUCUUAUUUGUUACAAGUAUUAUCCUCUUCUUUUUCUAAUUUCUCGUAAGUGAUGGUUGUUUGAUAAGUAUCAUGUGCCAUUCUAAAUUUUAAUUUAGAUAACAAUAUUAUUAAUUAAUUCUUACAAGUAACUUUUGUGUACUUUCAAAGCUUUUUGUUGUUCCUUUGGUAUUAUGUUGCCCUUGUAAAUUGUGAAAGGUUAACAUAGAAAUAAAAAAUAAUGAAAUAUUGAAACAAUUAUAGCAAAUUAAAGUAACCAAGAUCAAGUGAUUAAAUUGAACGUUAAAGAGAUAAAUACAAUAUUUCAAUAUACUUACUAGUCAUUUUAUUAUUAUUAUAGUUAUAGAAAAGGUUUCUUUGCUACUACAUUAGAGCUAGAAACUAUUUAAUUGUAGGUCAUUGAUAAUGGAAUUUUUACUUUAUAAAGUGAUCAAUAAUGAUUAAGUUGUAAUGGUUUUCAAAGUAGAAGCGACUUAAAGAAAAAGAUUAGAAGUGAUGGGGAAUUUACGACAUGAUUAAUUUGUCAGAGGUAGUGUGACUUUCGACGUGAACUAUCUAUAUGGUCUCCUUAUCUAUUGGUCAGUAACUUGUAAUACCUUCAUUUUCCAUGGAGUACAAUGGCCCAUGCCUUUCUUGAUGAGUCUGCUAUUUUCAAGAACCACUUCGAGCUAUGCUUCUUUCAUCUCCAUAUCCGUACUUCACUUAUUCAUGCUUGUCAACAACAUAAACUUGCUCUUUAUGUACAACAACAUGCAGUGUUCCAAUGAUGUUUGCAAUCCAAAAAGUUGUUUGUACCACAUGAUGUUUCUUUGAUAGAUUAGAAGUUUAAUUUUGUAUUGAAAGAUUUAUUACCCGUUAGAUUUACUUCAUCUCUCAAUCUUUGUGCUAUAGUGAUUUGAAGGAAGUAAAUUCAAAGUAAUGGUUUUGAAUAGUAAUUUUUGGAUCUUGGAUUUCAGUUACAAUAGUUGUCGUAAAAAACAAUGUCUUCUUUGUUUCUACGAUAGGUGUGUAACAAUCAUUUGCCGAUGAUAUUUUUAGAUUUGUUAUGUUGUA